rnacentral:sRNA from 1 species
CAGAUAUGACUAGAAACAAAUUACUUUCAAAACAGGUACAGCACAGGCAGCAACUGUGAAAGCUUACCCAAACUAUCCCACCCACACACCUCUACUGUCACCUGAAAGAACUACCUCCAGGUAUAAGAAGAUAAUUCACUCUCCAUGCUUAGUCAGUACUUGGCUUCU